UAACCGACUCUCGGCAACGGAUAUCUCGGCUCUCGCAUCGAUGAAGAACGUAGCGAACUGCGAUACUUGGUGUGAAUUGCAGAAUCCCGUGAACCAUCGAGUCUUUGAACGCAAGUUGCGCCCGAAGCCAUUUGGCCGAGGGCACGUUUGCCUGGGUGUCA
rnacentral:rRNA from 1 species